CUACGGGAGGCAGCAGUAGGGAAUUCUUCCACCAAUGGACGAAAGUCUGAUGGAGCACGCCGCGUGAGUGAAGAAGGGUUUCGGCUCGUAAAACUCUGUUGUUAAAGAAGAACAUAUCUGAGAGUAACUGUUCAGGUAUUGACGGUAUUUAACCAGAAAGCCACGGCUAACUACGUGCCAGCAGCCGCGGUAAUACGUAGGUGGCAAGCGUUGUCCGGAUUUAUUGGGCGUAAAGCGAGCGCAGGCGGUUUUUUAAGUCUGAUGUGAAAGCCUUCGGCUCAACCGAAGAAGUGCAUCGGAAACUGGGAAACUUGAGUGCAGAAGAGGACAGUGGAACUCCAUGUGUAGCGGUGAAAUGCGUAGAUAUAUGGAAGAACACCAGUGGCGAAGGCGGCUGUCUGGUCUGUAACUGACGCUGAGGCUCGAAAGUAUGGGUAGCAAACAGGAUUAGAUACCCUGGUAGUCCAUACCGUAAACGAUGAAUGCUAAGUGUUGGAGGGUUUCCGCCCUUCAGUGCUGCAGCUAACGCAUUAAGCAUUCCGCCUGGGGAGUACGGCCGCAAGGCUGAAACUCAAAGGAAUUGACGGGGGCCCGCACAAGCGGUGGAGCAUGUGGUUUAAUUCGAAGCUACGCGAAGAACCUUACCAGGUCUUGACAUACUAUGCAAAUCUAAGAGAUUAGACGUUCCCUUCGGGGACAUGGAUACAGGUGGUGCAUGGUUGUCGUCAGCUCGUGUCGUGAGAUGUUGGGUUAAGUCCCGCAACGAGCGCAACCCUUAUUAUCAGUUGCCAGCAUUAAGUUGGGCACUCUGGUGAGACUGCCGGUGACAAACCGGAGGAAGGUGGGGAUGACGUCAAAUCAUCAUGCCCCUUAUGACCUGGGCUACACACGUGCUACAAUGGAUGGUACAACGAGUUGCGAACUCGCGAGAGUAAGCUAAUCUCUUAAAGCCAUUCUCAGUUCGGAUUGUAGGCUGCAACUCGCCUACAUGAAGUCGGAAUCGCUAGUAAUCGCGGAUCAGCAUGCCGCGGUGAAUACGUUCCCGGGCCUUGUACACACCGCCCGUCACACCAUGAGAGUUUGUAACACCCAAAGUCGGUGGGGUAACCUUUUAGGAACCAGCCGCCUAA
rnacentral:rRNA from 1 species